rnacentral:lncRNA from 1 species
GUGUGUAUUUUACAUUUAAUGUAGCCCUCAAAAUACCACCGAAUGUAUUUUUUUAAUUCACAGAUAUUCUCAGAAAAUGUGUGUAUUUUCGUGGUGGUCUCUUCAAUGGCUGGGUUGGAUGGCAACCUGGUCUCAGAGAAAUGUUAAAUGGCAGACAUGGAAUUCGCCUUUGUUAUUGCCGAUGAAGUGGAUGCCAUCGAAAUUCCACUUCUCCUACACGAAGCUGAACAUGAACAACACGGUCCAAGACAUGCAUAUCUUAAUAAGGAAAUUACAUACCAGCCCAAACUCUUUCUAACAUUCACAAGACUUGUUUUGUAUGUUUGUGAUGGUUUUCUCAAAAUAUAACCAGGUAGUAGUGAGUGCAUAGGCUACUAGAAUGAGAGGUGUUUUUGCAGCAUAUGGGAUUUGCCGCAUAUGGGUUUGCCAUUACUUCAUGCCCUUGCACCUUCCUCAUUAUUAUUUGUGAUUGUGCAACAUGGAAUUGUAACAGUCCACAAAUAUUCUUACUGUACGGUAAUUGAUUGCAUGUCAGCAUCACUACAGCCGGCAGUAAUUUUUAACCUUUAUGUAGCUUUUGUCAGUAAACAUGUGAAGAACAGAAUUUGAUUCAAUCACAUGUACAAAACACUCACUGUACAGAAAAGGAUUAGACUAUACAUGUACAUCAGGUCACAUAAAUUACUGGUUAAACAAUAUGAAAAGGAUUA